AGCAGCCGCGGUAAUUCCAGCUCCAAUAGCGUAUAUUAAAGUUGUUGCAGUUAAAAAGCUCGUAGUUGAAUUUCGGGAUCAAUUAAUUGGUCGUGCCUAUGGUACGUACUGAUUUUAUUGGUUUCUCCCUUCUGACGAACCAUGAUGUCAUUAAUUUGGUGUCGUGGAGAAUCAGGACUGUUACUUUGAAAAAAUUAGAGUGUUUAAAGCAAGCUAACGCUUGAAUACAUUAGCAUGGAAUAAUGAAAUAGGACGUUUGAUCCUAUUUUGUUGGUUUCUAGGAUCGACGUAAUGAUUAAUAGGGAUAGUUGGGGGCAUUAGUAUUCAAUUGUCAGAGGUGAAAUUCUUGGAUUUAUUGAAGACUAACUACUGCGAAAGCAUUUGCCAGGGAUGUUUUCAUUAAUCAAGAACGAAAGUUAGGGGAUCGAAGACGAUCAGAUACCGUCGUAGUCUUAACCAUAAACUAUGCCGACUAGGGAUCGGAUGAUGUUAAGUUUUUAAUGACUCA
rnacentral:rRNA from 1 species